rnacentral:tRNA from 1 species
ACCGCAAUGGCGCAAUGGUAGCGUAUCAGGCCCAUAUCCUGAUGGUUGUAGGUUCAAAUCCUGCUUGCGGUA